rnacentral:rRNA from 1 species
UACGGGGGGGGCAAGCGUUGUUCGGAAUUACUGGGCGUAAAGGGCUCGUAGGUGGCCAACUAAGUCAGACGUGAAAUCCCUCGGCUUAACCGGGGAACUGCGUCUGAUACUGGAUGGCUCGAGUUUGGGAGAGGGACGCGGAAUUCCAGGUGUAGCGGUGAAAUGCGUAGAUAUCUGGAGGAACACCGGUGGCGAAGGCGGCGUCCUGGACCAACACUGACACUGAGGAGCGAAAGCCAGGGGAGCAAACGGG